ACGACGCUGGCGGCGUGCUUAACACAUGCAAGUCGAACGGUGACGAGAGCUUGCUCCUCUGAUCAGUGGCGAACGGGUGAGUAACACGUGAGCAACCUGCCCCAGACUCUGGGAUAACAGUUGGAAACAGCUGCUAAUACCGGAUACGAGACGGAGAGGCAUCUCUACCGUCUGGAAAGUUUUUCGGUCUGGGAUGGACUCGCGGCCUAUCAGCUAGUUGGUGAGGUAAUGGGCUCACCCAAGGCGACGACGGGUAGCCGGCCUGAGAGGGCGACCGGCCACACUGGGACUGAGACACGGCCCAGACUCCUACGGGAGGCAGCAGUGGGGAAUAUUGCACAAUGGGCGAAAGCCUGAUGCAGCGACGCCGCGUGAGGGAUGAAGGCCUUCGGGUUGUAAACCUCUUUCAGCAGGGAAGAAGCGAAAGUGACGGUACCUGCAGAAGAAGCACCGGCUAACUACGUG
rnacentral:rRNA from 1 species